ACUGCAUUUUGACUGUAUGAUAGAACACUACCGGUCUCAUUUAUCAGCAGGCUGCAGAUUUAUAUCUCCCUGUUUCCAGAAGUGCUGGAGGCAGUACGCUUCCGGCAGCUUGUGCAUGUUCACAGAAUACAAAGUGCGAAAAGAAUUAAACAUGAAAUAGCACUGCCUUCAUCUCAACAAUGUAGAAGGAAUAGUGCUUGCAAAUAGCAAUAUGAGCAGAAAACUUAAAUCCAAAUCUAAUAUGUUAAUACUGCCUGUAGCUUCUGACAAAGAAAGAAUCACAGGAUUCUGGAGUCUACAUUUUCUGACACAACAAUCAUAGAGAUGUCUUUUAUGUUGGGGGGAGUUUAAUUGUGUCAUAAUCUAUAACUAAAUAUAUAUCUUUUAUUUUUCACAGACAACAGAAAUCUUUAGCUAAUGGGCCUCCCAAAUUUUAAUCCCACCAGCAAACUUGGGAAUUAACUGAUCCAUCCAUCUACCUGCUUUAAUCUUUGCUCAGAGGAAAACGGACUGUGUUUUCAGGCCAACCUCCCCUGUGGUAUCCAUGCCCUCCUCUUAGAAGCUCACCCCUUCAGCGCCAGCUUCUGUAUCCCACAGGAAAGUGAGACGCCACCCUAGAGCUACGUCUGCAGUUGGGCUGAGGGUGGCUCAGCAGCACAGCACUUGCCUAGAGCACACAGCCAACUUCCUGUUCUUCCAGACUCUGCUCACUAUAGAAGAAGUCAGAAAGCCUAAGUUUGAAACUUUGGAGCUCAUAGAAUGAAGAGGCUAGAAAAUCACAGCUUUUAUUAAUUUGAUUUUCAUUCAUUCUACACAUGUACUGAGGGAAUGACCAAUUAUAUAACAUUUGGAGAUGAGUAUAGAAACGGAAAGCUAGAUUCCCUUGCUCAAAAAAGUACUCAGAAUUUUCAAGAUGAUCACACAAAGCGUGUAAGGAGACGUGGAGCCUUCUGCAGCUGCGUAGGUUGAACGCACACGAAGCUGGCCCGUGACGGAACACCGCCGGGGUGCGUGGCGCCGAGCCUGGCGGCGCUGGAGAGGCGGCUGCUGCGGCCACUGCCCUUGGGAAAGCCGGAGACUUGACACAGACUUGACGCAGAACAGUGACGAAUUCAAACUGUCAGCUCUUGCUCUGCUAACAAUGUGGGCCAUGAGCUAGAGUAUAUUCAGAUCACUGAUGAGCACUACAGGCGCUGGUGCCUUCCACAGCCCCGCUGAAAUGAGAUGGCAAGCAACGUGAAAUGGAGUCACGGGGAGCGCAUAUCACCUGCUGCAAGGAGCAACGUGUUGAGAGCAAUAAAACUUUUUCUAAGACUGUGUGCCAUUUUGCAAGAUUGUGUGUUCACAAUAAUAAUAUUUUUUCCUACAACCUACUUCACACAUUGCUUGCCAUAAACAGAUGUUGGUUUUUAUGUUUCUAAAACCAUUUGUAGCUCCAUGUUCAUAUUCACUCUCUUUUGAGGUAGGGCAGUCAGUUAUAGCAAUAUGAUUUAUGGUAGUGAGCAGUGAUAGAAUUCCAGAAUUUAAAGUGAUGUUAAGUAUCCCGUGAGUUUAUAAGAAGUCUCAAAACAAAGAUUUCUGGAGAAAGCAUAAAUGUACAAAAGAAGCAAGGUGUGUAGGGAUUUUGUUCUCCACUAUGUAUUUCAUUAUUGCAGACUCAGUAGAAAAACUUUAUUCAUAGUAUUGUUUUUUAUUAAAAAGUGUAUCUUCUGUUUUAAAUUUUAUAUUUAAUCAGUUAAAAUUCUCUGAAGAGAGCGUAAUCCUAGAAUGCAAAUUCACCUCAUGUCAAGGUGUGAAGGGAGCAAGUGGGCUUUUGACCUUCAUUUUCUCCUCAAGGUCAGCCCUUAAAUGGGAAGUAAAAUGUUAGUGUGGGCAAAACAACUUUUUCAGCCCACUAAAAUAUAAAUAAGACCCUCUUUUUAAAUACUGAUAUUCUUAUUAAUUUCUAACAUUCAGUCUCAGUAUAAACAGGGUGCCUGCUAUGAAAAUGCAGUUCCAAGUCUUCAUGUCCUUCCAGAGUUUUUCUAAAGUCCUCUAGGGGGCUGCAGCUUUCUCUCCCUAAUUCCAUCCUUUGAGUUUUCCUGUACCCUUACCAGUGAGCCCCUUCCCCUUCGUGAGGCUCCUCGUGAGUGCGUCUCUCCCCAGCCACAGCGCUGUCCUUGGCAGUCUCCCUUGGGACUGCGGUUCUGUGUCAGUGCUUCUUCCCCAGGACACUUCAGUGUCUAAAGGCAGCACUACGCUGGGUUCUUUGACUGGCAGUGCUCCUGAGCCCCUCAGAAGUUACACCGACAAAUGACCGAUGUUCAUGCAACCUAGAAUUUAUUUUCCUAAACAGAAGACUAAAGGACACCUGGUAUUGAAUUUAACAUUGGGUUCCUGCUCAUACACAAGAAAAAAUACCCUAUUAUUUUAACACAGUUGACAAGAAUAUAUCCUUUGCAACUGGAAUUAGACAUGAUUAUCUGAGCAACUGUGCGUGAUUUGAAUUGCAGAUUAUUCUGCUGCAUUCAGUGUAAGCUCCUGAGAGCAGCAAAGGCCAUUUUCCUAAGUAUCCAGCCUAGUGGACCUGAACUGAUAUCAGUAAAGGGCAGUUCACAGGCUCUUGGUGACUAAUGUCCACCACCUAUAUUGCCAUAGUUUGGAAUAACCAGUAAUAGUGAAAAGAAAUGGGAAGAAGAUUGUUAUUAAUGCAUUAAGUUUUCUCGCUUUUAGGAUUAUGUGGAUGACUAAAACAAUGUGUUGUGUAGUAUAGAUGCAUUUUCCAAGACUGUGCUCUUGCUACACUUGGCAUGAUAUUAAGGAAUAGAGCCAUUUUCUUCUGUUAUCCCGGUACACUUAAAAGAAAAUUAAAAUAGUCCCUAAGGAAAGUGGUCUUCCACCUCCUACUGACAUUAGUAAUUACUUUGCUUAACUAAAUCCAGUGUGGAAGCAGUUUAUUUGUUUAUUGUAAACAGAAGUUGGUGCAGUAGGGCUAUUUCUGGAAGUCAGUCAUGGAGUACGAAAGGACUAGCUGGGGAAACGCGGCCAUUUGUCAACACCUGCUUCAGACCCUUUCAGUGAGGCUUAAUCAUUUUAUUUCACUUUAAUGUUGAGCGUCUUGCUGUAGCAAAUAUUAUUUUUUCUAUCAAGAACUAGCUUGUUUGCAAUUUCAAAAUCAAAUGCUAAGAAUUCAUUGAUUUAAUUGUAAUUGAUUUGUCUUGUUUUAAUAGAGGUCUCAAAAUACGCGAUUGUGCUAAAGGAGCUGAAUAUAGAAGAUAUUUAGUCCUGUGGGGUGCAACAUGUUCCAUCUUAACGUUUAUGAAUAUCACCCACAAAUAUUAGUGUGUCAGCUGGAAAGACAUUUGUAAUGUUCAUAGACAUAGGGCAGAGAUUUUUUGGCAGUGUGUCCCUGUCCAAGAAAACAGAAAGAGUUAACAAGAAUGAGAUUAAAUGUAAGGAGUCUCAGACAGGUGUGACGGUACGUGACUAUAAUUCUUGUACUUUAGGAGGCUGAGGUAGAAAGAUCACAAAUUUGAGUCCCACAUGAGCAACUUAGCUAGCAAGACCUUGUGCUAAAAAUUUUAAAAGGGUCUAGGACUGUAGUUCAGUGCAAAUUCCCUGGAUUCAAGUACUGUAAAAGAUUCUCUGGAUUCAAGUACUGUAAAAGAUUCUCUGGAUUCAAGUACUGUAAAAGAUUCCCUGGAUCCCUAGUACUGUAAAAGAAAAAAAAAAGCCCGCCAUUUCAAAGACAAGCAGUGAUUUUUACCAAGCAAUUUAGCCCUAUAGAAGGGGUGCAGAAGAAAAUUAAGGCUGAAAUAAAUAAAUUAAUUAAAACAAAACUAAAGGUUUUAAACUACCAUUUUGCAGCAGUUAAAAACUUGAGGGCAAAGUCCCAACAACUGGUCUCCAACUCAACAAUGCAAAGCACUGGCUUUUGGGGGACGUGUGUGAGGCUCAGCUGCUCCACCAACACCUCCAGCGUAUUAUUUGAGGCUCAGAAUAAGAAGAAAGAGAGAUGUUUGCUUCUCCUUUCUACAGAUCUUAUGUAUUUUCUGUACUAUCUGAUUUAACCAUUCAUUAUACCUCAGUUUCUUCUCAUAAACUACUAUAAUUCUCUUUAUGAACUGUAAAUAAGAAACUGCAGAACUGUCCAAGGAGACAGGGCCGUGGAGAAGCAGAGACCCAGGCUACGGUCAAAAGAGUGAAAACUCAGCAGAGACUGAGAUUGUCCUGACUGACUGACCUUCUACCGAACACCACAGCAAGGAACAUAGCAAGCACCGGGGUGUGUCACAUGAUCGCUGAGGUCUCCCACUUUCCUUUGCUCACGGACAAACACACUCAAGCACACUGUGAAAACCUCCGCACACUCUCUUCACACAGCUUGUGCCCAAGCGUUCCUUCACUCAGUCACGUUUUCAGCAGAUAUUUCCUAUCAUCCACCGUUGGGGCUGUUCAUUUCCUUGAUUAAGCAAGUGGUAAAUAUUUGUUGAGGAUGAACAACAAAAUACCAACGGGUGACAAAAAAAUGAACUUCCCCUUUAAUCCCACAGUGUCAGUACAGGGGUUAGUGUGUUCACUCAUCACAUGUGUUUUCCCUCAAAAUAUAUAUUCUUUCUGUUUGUCUUUGUUUUUAGCAGUUCUACUCAUAUGAAUUUCAUUUUUAACAUGACCUGAUUUUUCUCUUAAUAUUUACAAAUAUGUUUCUUUGUCGGUUGAAAUACUUCUAAAGGUUGAGCAUUGCUAAACCCAAAAUAUGAAACUUUUUAAGCACUGACAUGAUAUGACAAAUGCAAAAUUUUACACUGACCUCAAGUGACAGAUUUCAGUGCAAGCACACUAAAAACACUAUAUAAAAUUAUCUUCAGGCUCUAUGUGUAAGAUGUAUAUGGGACAUAAAUGGAUUUCACAUUUAGACAAGACUCCCAUCGCAUGAUACAUCAUUGAGUACACAAACAUUCCAACAUGCAAAACAAUACAAUGUGAAGUCUGUAAGAUUUGUGAUCCCAAGCAUUUUAGAAAAGGAAUAUUCAACUACACAGUGUCUAACAAUGGCAUAAUGGUCAAUUGAAUAAAUACAGUGAAAUGUCCAAAAUAAUUUUAUUAUUAGAUAAGAAAGAUUUUUAUCUUAACCAAAAGAAUAUUGAAACAUGGCUGUAAUAAACACACAUAAGUACUUUUAAACAAACAUUGUAUUUUUUCUAAGACAAUUCUUAAACUGUAAUUCUGGGGAAAAUAUUUUAGGACUUUUGAUGUAUGAGCUACAAUUAUAAAGCUUUUUUUUAUUCUGGAGGAAGGUAAGAGGGUCUAUUUAUUCUUACAUUGCUAUUUAAUAGGAGCAAAGUUAUCUGUUAUUGUUUACCUUUUGUUUUCUAAUACAUGAGGUUGAAAUUGCUUGUAUAGUUUUUAGUGAUUUAAACACAUGCUGCACAGUUUUGCUGCUUUCUAAAACUUCCGUAUUCUGUGGGCAUGGGUCCUUUUGAUGUAAUAUGUGUGAGUUAUUGCAUACUAUGAAUGUUAAUUAACUGCUUAAAUGUUAAUAUAUACUCCAAUAUUUUACCAACUUAUUAUUUCCUUUUUUACAUACUCUAUGGAAGUGUGUCUCCCAUUCUCAAGGUUUUCUCCUGUGUAAUGUUUUUCCUCCGAGUAGAAUCUUUACUCUGAAAUAGUUCAUUCUCACUUAAUGUAAAUUUUAAAAUUAAUAAAUUUGAAAGAUUUUUAUAACAAAUUUUAAGUCUGUGAAACCUGUAGUAUUGAAAGAUUAAUAUAUUGUUUUCUCUUUAUAUUUUAUGUCUAUAUAGUACUUCAUUGUAUAAAUUGUCAUGAUUUAUUUGAUCAGUUACCAAUUUAUGGAAGUUUAAAUUAAAGUAUUGGUACAUAA